rnacentral:rRNA from 1 species
GAUGAACGCUGGCGGCGUGCCUAAUACAUGCAAGUCGAACGAGGUGCUUGAGUAGCAAUACAAGAGUAUCCUAGUGGCGAACGGGUGAGUAACGCGUGGAUGACCUGCCCCAAAGUGUGGGAUAACAGUCCGAAAGGAUUGCUAAUACCUCAUGUGGUUAUCGGUUUUAGAAAGCGAUAACUAAAGCAGCAAUGCGCUUUGGGAGGGAUCUGCGUCCCAUCAGCUAGUUGGUGAGGUAACGGCUCACCAAGGCGACGACGGGUAGGGGACCUGAGAGGGUGGCCCCCCACAAUGGAACUGAAACACGGUCCAUACACCUACGGGUGGCAGCAGUAGGGAAUAUUGCUCAAUGGGCGAAAGCCUGAAGCAGCAACGCCGCGUGUGCGAUGAAGG